GACGAACGCUGGCGGCGUGCUUAACACAUGCAAGUCGAACGGUAAGGCUCCAGCUUGCUGGGGUACACGAGUGGCGAACGGGUGAGUAACACGUGGGUGACCUGCCCUGCACUUCGGGAUAAGCCUGGGAAACUGGGUCUAAUACCGGAUAGGACCGCACCGUGAGGGUGUGGUGGAAAGUUUUUUCGGUGUGGGAUGGGCCCGCGGCCUAUCAGCUUGUUGGUGGGGUAAUGGCCUACCAAGGCGGCGACGGGUAGCCGGCCUGAGAGGGUGGACGGCCACAUUGGGACUGAGACACGGCCCAGACUCUUACGGGAGGCAGCAGUGGGGAAUAUUGCACAAUGGGCGGAAGCCUGAUGCAGCGACGCCGCGUGGGGGAUGACGGCCUUCGGGUUGUAAACUCCUUUCACCAUCGACGAAGGGUUUCUGACGGUAGAUGGAGAAGAAGCACCGGCUAACUACGUG
rnacentral:rRNA from 1 species